ensembl:lncRNA
AUGGGGACUGGUGGGCGGCGAGGGGGGAAAGCCCCGGAUGUUCGUUGGGGAUUCAACAUGGCGGCAGCAGUGGCCGUGGUGGCGGCGGCGCAAGAGAGCUGAGGGCGGCGUGAGCGCGCCAAGUUCCGGGCCGAGCAGCUAGGCCGCGAGCGACUGCGGUGCCGAGCCGGACUGUCGGCUCCAGGAAGGAGGGGCUGUCUUCACUGCCGGGUCCCCCGUGCCUACAACAGUGCCUGGCACACACUGAGUGCACAGUAAAGGAUUGUUUGGAGUUCCUGUCAUGGCUCAGCUGUUAAUGGAUCCAACUAGCAUCCAUGAGGAUGUGGGUCCGAUCUCUGGCCUCGCUCAGUGGGUUAAGGGUCCACUUAACCCCCUGAGCCGUGAGCUGGGCUAUAGGUUGCAGACUCGGCUGGGAUGUGGCGUUGCUGUGGCUCUGGCGUAGGCCAGCGGUUACAGCUGUGAUAGGACCCCUAGCCUGGGAACCUCCACAUGCUUGGGUGUGGCCCUAAAAAAAAGACAAAAAAAAAAAAGGGGGAUCGUUGAGUGCGUGACCAAGGCUGAGCGAGUGGACUCCGGCUUGGGUCAGACCUGCCGUGGAGUCCUGGCUCUGACACGCGGGGUGUGACCUCGGGCUGGCACCUCCCUGUGAGCCUCGCUUUCCUCCUCAGCAACGUGGGGUCUUCGCAGCGCCAGCUCUGCUCACUGCCACGUCUCGCGCACACCGAAGCCUCCAUCGCUGGCUUCGCUGGCGUCCUACGUCUCCAGCACAGGGCACAGACGAGGGAGCCAGGACUGCCCCUGCCGUCCUGCCAGAUCUGAACGAACUCCUUCCACUCUGGGUGACGGGCUGGGGCGCCCCAGGACAGGGCCUCCGUGGAUGGAUGUGUUCCUGGGGCCAGAAAGGUUCCGUGGGGAGUGUGCGGCACGUGGGACCCCGGAGCGAGGGAUGUGAACAGACCUGGGUGUUGGGCUGAGUCUGAGUCUGGCUGCUUCCAGGCCUUUGUCUCCCUUGCAGGAAACAGGCCAAGAGCUGUUAGGAGGGCUGCUGCUCCCAGCCGCAAUUACAGGCUUGGGUGGGUGGGUGUGUCUGUGUCUGUGUCUGUGUGUGUGUGAUAGAGCGAGCAAAAGUUUGCCUGUCUGCGGGCACCUGCAGGUAUGGAGGGAGCUUCCAGCUGUCGGAAUUGCUACCCCUGGUGCUUCCUGCCCGGGCCUGUAAAAUGUGACACGUGUACAGAAAAGUGCAUAAAACCUCCCUUUUCGGUUCAGUGAGUGAUUACAAAGCACGCGCCCUUCUAAGGACCAAGACGAUAAGCACCCUAGGAGCCCCCUCCUCCUUUUCCAGCGUUACCAAAUAAAUUCAGCCCUCUUUUCCUCCUUUUAACUGUUGCCUCUUCAUUUGUGAAUUAGGAGAGAUUUCAGGUGCCCCCAGGAGAUCAGAGAAUCAUCUGAUGGACUCCCUUGGGCCCCUGCCCAGCUAAGAGAGAAAACACGCUCGCCAUGGUUGAAGUCCCCUGGGUCCCCUCCCGCAGGUACCCAGGCCUUACUGCGGUUCCUUGUUGCUUCUCUAAGCAGUAUCCGUGUUGUUCUGCAGGUUUCAAACUGUAUGUAAAUGAGACCAGGCCACCAGCGCUCGCUGCAGCUUGCUCUCAGUAUUUUGCUCUUGAGGUUUCCCGGGGUAGGAUUGUAAAUGAGUCCCCUGCCAGCAGGAGCGCUCCCCAGCGUGGGUCAGAGCUCCCCGCCACCUUCUCCCAGAGCCAGAGGAAAGCAGCCCUGCCCUGGUGGAGCCGCAGGGCUAUGUGGUGGCUAUGGGGCUCUGGGGCUCCUCUCGGCUCACAGCCCCUAGUGCCAGCCGGGUUUGGCAUCACUGCCCCAAGUGAAGGUGGGCACUUCCUGUCCCGGGAGGGCACUGCUGGCCAGGUUGACGUGGGAUUCAGGUACAGGCCUUUGACAUGUAAGGGGCCUUCCCUGACACGUGUAAGGGAUGCAGGGGUUCUGGCACCAUCCCGGGUCUGUCCGUUCCAUGGAGGAGCUGUCCCUGGAGAAGGGAAUGGAUUGGGGGCUGGGGCAGGAGGGUCUCCAAAACCCCCCCCCCUUAGCCAGUCUCCUCCUUUCACGGAGAGGCCCUGUGGGGCAGAGAUUACUGUCAAAGGCUUUGGGUCCAGAGGCCUGGGUUUGCUACCCAGCUCUGCCACCUACUAGCGGGGAGACCUUAGGCACGUGGCUCCUCCCCCUCCCACCCCCCACCCCCAUUAGCCUCAAUCUCCCAUUUGUAAAAUGGGAUUGUUACAAAGGUUAUUUUAUCCCGGUAAAGCACGCCGAAGAGAGCUAGCACACAGAAACCUCUUAGCGAGUACUAGCUGUCAGUGUUGUUGUCGUACUGCCGUUCACUCAUUCAUUUUGUGCAUAACCACUGUGUUGCGUCUUCUGAGUCCAGCCCUGUGCUGGCUGAUGCCUGGGACAGGCUGGUGCCCUCUCUGCCCGAGGCCCUGUGCUCAUGUCCAGUGAGGGAGGCAGACACAGCCCAGAGUGACCUGGAGGAAAGCACAGGCCAGAGUGUCAAGACUUUGGUUGGAAGCCCAGAAGACUGUGGCAAGCUCUGGCUCCAGCCUAGGAAAUCAGAGAAGGCUUCCUGGAGGAGGAGACAUCUGAGCUGAGCGCUCUUAAGAGAACUAGGAGUGAGUUAGUGUGUGGAAGAUGAUGUGUGCCAAGGAGAAUGAAUAGCAUAUUCUAAGGUGAGAAAGGGUUUGGCAUUUUUAAUAAAUUGUGACUUUUAAAUUAAGCUUUUCAUUUUAAGAUCAUUGUAGAUUAACUGGGUGUUGUAAGAAAUAAGACAGAGAGAGACCUGGGACCCUUCACCCUUUUCCCCCAAUGGGACCAUCUUGCAAAAUGACAGCUAGGGCAAGACCACAACCAGGAUAUUGACGUAGAUGCAGUCAGGAUAGAGAACAGGCCAUGUCGGGAAUCCUCCUGCUGGACUUUGCNNNNNNNNNNNNNNNNNNNGAACUUUGCAGCCACAUUCCCCCCGCCGCCCCUGGCCUUCCCUAACUCCCAGCAACCACUCCUAUCUGUUCCCCAUUUUUAUAAUUCUGUCUUUUCAGCAGUGAUAAUGUAAGUGGCAUCACACUGUAUGUAACCUUUAGGGGCUGACUUUUUUUCACUCAGCAUAAUUCUCUGGCGAUUCAUCCAGGUUGUUGCCUGUGUCAGUAGUUCAUUCUUUUUCUUGCUGAGUACUGGAUGUGCCAUCGUUUAUUGAACCAUUCACCCACUGAGCGACAUCUGGGGCGUUUCCCGUUUGGGGCUGGUAGAAAUAAUGCUGCCAUCUACAGUCUCAUACCGGCUUUUGUGGGAAUGUAAAUUUUCAUUUUCAAUGCCCACAAGUGCAAGUGCUGGGAAGCAUGUUUAAAGAAACUGCCAAACUGUUUUCCAGAAUGCGGUACCGUUUUAUGUUCUCACCAGCAGUGUAUGAGCGAUCCGUUUUACCACAUGCUCACCAGCAAUUGGUGUUAACGCUCUUUUUUAGUUUAGCUGUUCUAAUAGUCGUAUCAUGAUAACCCAUCGUGGCUUUAAUUUGUUUUUCUCUAGGGGCUGAUGCUGUUGAGCAUCCUUUCACGAGCUUAUCUGCCAUCCGUGUAUCCUCUUUGGUGAAAUGUCUGCUGCCCAUUUUCUAAUUGGAUGGUUUGGGUUUUUUACUGUUGAGAGUUGAGAGUUCCUUAACUCUUUUAGAUAUUAGUCCUUUGUCAGAUACGUGGUUUGCACAUAUUUUCUCCCCAUCGGUAGCUUUUUGUCCUCUUCACGUGGACUUCUGCAGAGCAGAGCAGAAGUUUUUCAUUUUGAUGAGGUCUGCAUUAUUAAUUUUCCUUUGGGGUUGUGCUUUUGGUGUCAAGUCUAAGAAUUCUGUACCUAGCCCUCCAUCCCAUGUUUUCUAAAGGUUUUCAAGUUUUACAUUUUACGUUGAAGUCUGUGAUCUGUCAUGAGCUAAUUUGUGCAAAGUGUGAGGCUUUGAUGGAGGUUCCUGUUUUAGCGCGUGGAUGUCCAGUUGUUCCAGUACCAUUGGUUUCGAACGCUGUCUUUCCUCUGUUGAAUUGCUUAUGCUUCAUUGUCAAAAAUAAGUUACCGCAGUGAGAUAUCACUUCACCCCUACCAGGAUGGCUGUUAUCCCCCCAACAUUGGAAAUAACAAGUAUUGAUGAGGAUGUAGAGAAAUUGGAGCCCUUGUGCAUUGCUGGUGGGAAUGUAAAAUCGUGCAGCCGCUGUGGAAAAACAGUUUGGUUACAUAUAGAACUACCGUAUCACCCAGCAAUUUGAGUCCUGGGUACAUAACCAAAAGAAUAAAAAGGACAGACUUGAACAGGUAUUUGUACACCACCGUUCAUAGUUGCAUUAUUCACAAUAGCUCAGAAGUGGAAACAACUCAAGUAUCUAUCAACAGACGAAUGGAUAAACAAAAUUUGGUGCCUCUGCACAAUGGAAUAUUAUUCAGCCAUUAAAAAGGAAUGGAGUGUUGAUGUGUGCUGCAGUGUGGAUGGACCUUGACAGCAUUAAGCUCAGUGAAAUAAGCCAGACAUGCGAGAAAUAUGGUAAGAGUUCACUUAUAUGAGGUACCCAGAGUGGGCAAACUCAUAGAGAAAGUAUGUCCUGACCACCUCCCGAGGUUCCCAGGGGCCAUGGGGAAGGAGGGCAUGGGGCGCUGUUGUUUAAUGGGCACAUGGAUUUGGUUGGAAGUGGUGACGGAGUUUGAGGUACAGGCAGUGAUGGUGGUUGUACGACACUGUGAGUGUAUGUAACUCUGUUGGAGUGUACACCUCGCAAAUGGUUACGAUGGCAGGCAUUAAGUGUAUUUUACCACAAUGAAAAAAAUCAAUGUUUUCAGACCCCCUUGGGUGCAUCUGUGUGGGCAUGUGUCUGGGUUCUCCAUUCGUUCACUGGCCAGGGUAUUGACCACCGCUGUCCUGAUGACCAUAGCAGUGCAGUGGGCCUUACUGUCGGUGUCUCACUUUCCAUCUUUUUCACAGUUGAGAUUCUGGGGCCUGGGGCAUGGCAUUUUGGGAGCUCCUCUCAGGCUCCCUUGUGUGGAAGAUGGCACUGCGGCUUAACCCACUUUCACAGUCACCCUUGGCACCUGCCUUGCCCUCAGCCCCCGUAUCUGACUCAUCCGCAGGAGCUGCUUUUUUCUUUUGACAAACAUAGUUCUGGUCUGCGCUCCUCUCUCCGUGUCCAGCCGUCGUGCCGCCUCCUUCAGUUGUCUGGAGCACAUUAGUCUUUCCACUUGUCCCCAUGCCCUCUCGGGACCUACUUGAUCCCGUCCUCCACCGGCAAGGCAGCCAGAGUUACAUCUUCCAAAUGGAGGUCCGUCCCCAGUGCCUGCCUGGGCUCCCCACCUACCCCGUGGCCUGGCUCCUGCCCUCCUCCAGCCUGGCUUCCUCGUGCUCUCAUCCCUCCAGCCAGCCCGUCUCAGCUGGAAUUUCGCGUCUCAUCUGUGAUCCUGGACCACAAGCCCCCCAGGGCAGGGACCAUGCUGCGCCCCCACCCCAGCCUGGAUGGCAGGUGGUGGACACGCAUUGCAUUUCUGUUGACAGAAUCCAGAGAGAGGCGUGGGAAGGAGCCAGGGCUGGGGAGUGAGGAUGAGGCUGGAGAAGUGGGAGUAGCUGGGGUGGGUUGACAAAGGUCUUCCUGACCUCGCAGAAAAGUAGGCAAACAUUUUGAAGACACAUUUAGCAACAAAGGAAUUCUGAUGGGGUUUUUGAUAUGAAAGGAGGCGCAGUUACUGAGUAGAAAACUGCAUGGGAAAAGCAGGCUGAGAGGGGCCAGACUUCACCUCUCUGGCCUGCAAAGAUCACAGGCUUUUGCAGCAACAUGGAUGGACCUAGAGAUCCUGAUAGUAAGUGAAGUGAGUCAGACAGUGAAAGACAAACGUCAUGUGAUAUCACUUAUAUGUGGAAUCUAAAAAAGGUUGCAGAUGAAAUUUGCAGAAUAGAAACACACUCACGGACUUUGAAAAGGGGACAGGCGAAGGGGGCGGUGGAUGGACUGGGGGUUUGGGAUUGGCAUGUGCACCCUGAGGUCUGUGGAAUGAUUGGCCAGCAGGGACCUGGUGAACAGCACAGGACUCUCCCCAGUAUUCUGUGAUCAUCUAUGCGGGAGAAGAAUCCGAAAGAGAAUGGAUGUGUGUGCAUGGAUAACUGAAUCACUUUGAUGUGUAGCAGAAAUUGUCCACAACGUUGUAAAUCAACUAUACUUCAAUAAAAGUUUUUAAA